rnacentral:rRNA from 1 species
AACGCUGGCGGCAGGCUUAACACAUGCAAGUCGAGCGGGCGUACAAUACGUCAGCGGCAGACGGGUGAGUAACGCGUGGGAACGUACCUUUUGGUUCGGAACAACACAGGGAAACUUGUGCUAAUACCGGAUAAGCCCUUACGGGGAAAGAUUUAUCGCCGAAAGAUCGGCCCGCGUCUGAUUAGCUAGUUGGUGAGGUAAUGGCUCACCAAGGCGACGAUCAGUAGCUGGUCUGAGAGGAUGAUCAGCCACAUUGGGACUGAGACACGGCCCAAACUCCUACGGGAGGCAGCAGUGGGGAAUAUUGGACAAUGGGCGCAAGCCUGAUCCAGCCAUGCCGCGUGAGUGAUGAAGGCCCUAGGGUUGUAAAGCUCUUUUGUGCGGGAAGAUAAUGACGGUACCGCAAGAAUAAGCCCCGGCUAACUUCGUGCCAGCAGCCGCGGUAAUACGAAGGGGGGCUAGCGUUGCUCGGAAUCACUGGGCGUAAAGGGUGCGUAGGCGGGUCUUUAAGUCAGGGGUGAAAUCCUGGAGCUCAACUCCAGAACUGCCUUUGAUACUGAAGAUCUUGAGUUCGGGAGAGGUGAGUGGAACUGCGAGUGUAGAGGUGAAAUUCGUAGAUAUUCGCAAGAACACCAGUGGCGAAGGCGGCUCACUGGCCCGAU